rnacentral:rRNA from 1 species
UGGCUCAGGACGAACGCUGGCGGCGUGCUUCAUACAUGCAAGUCGAACGAGAAAUUACCUUCGGGUAAUGGAAAGUGGCGGACGGGUGAGUAAUGUGUAGAGAAUCUGCCCUUAGGUGGGGGAUAACAGUUGGAAACGACUGCUAAUACCGCAUAAGCGCACAGUACUGCAUGGUACAGUGUGAAAAACUCCGGUGGUAUGAGAUGGACCCGCGUCUGAUUAGCUAGUUGGUGGGGUAACGGCCCACCAAGGCGACGAUCAGUAGCCGACCUGAGAGGGUGACCGGCCACAUUGGGACUGAGACACGGCCCAAACUCCUACGGGAGGCAGCAGUGGGGAAUAUUGCACAAUGGGGGAAACCCUGAUGCAGCGACGCCGCGUGAGCGAAGAAGUAUUUCGGUAUGUAAAGCUCUAUCAGCAGGGAAGAAAAAUGACGGUACCUGACUAAGAAGCACCGGCUAAAUACGUG